ensembl:rRNA 5S_rRNA 5S ribosomal RNA
GUCAACAGCCAUAUCACCCUGCAACUCACAACUGGCAGCCCCACUGAAGCUAAGCAGGUGUGAGCCUGGUCAGUACCUGGAUGGGAGACCUCCUGGGAAAAAACUAAGGUUGCUGCUGGAA